GUCCGGGACUGAUGCUGGGAGGUGGGCUUGUUCUUUGCUCUGACAGUUGUUUCCCUAAUAGUGUAUCCUAGGCCUGAACUCCUCUGAGCAGGAUCGUAAUUGGAGACAGAAAUUACAAGCUUAUCUGAGCCCAGCCUGACAAACAACAUCUGCUAAUUGGUAUAACACCAUGUGGUUGUCAAAAGGGUGAAAGGAAUUGAUGAAGGAUGCCAGUUGAUUCAGGCCAAGGAAAUGUGACCAUCACUGUCUAAGGCCAUUGUGUUCUUCUGGUGAGUUUGAAUCCUUUCCUAAGAAGAGGGCAGGAGAUGGAGCUCAGCAAGAUGUAGCCUCAGCUGGAGUCUACCUCAGCUUGUUCUGGGGAGCCCUGGAGCAGGAAUGAUGUCUCAGGGUUGUCCCAGUUUGAGGCAAGGCUUAGUAACUCUGCUUCAGCCCUGCAUGGGCUAAUCUUCCAGGCAUCUCUGGCUCUUGGAGGCUCCAUUGACCAUGGACAACCCUCCCAGAGAAGGGGGUAGCUGUGAGCAGUUAAUGACCAACACCAGAAGCAGUUGGACUGGAUGCACCAGCUGGCAAAAAAGAACUGGAGAAGGCAGCUACUAUUCUGUGGAGGUGAGAAUGGCCAUGGUGCACUGGGACCCAGUGAGGAGAGCAGGCAUGUUUGAGGAGAUGAGGUACAGUAAGGAGUAGUGAGUAAGAUUGGUUCAAGUUCUAGAGCUGAGAGAAAUGGAGAGGGAUUAAUGAGCAAUACUAAGGACCCUGUUGGAAUGGUGACCAUGAAUUUACCAUGAUAUGAUUAUGUGUGAUUUCAUGGAGAAAGCCAACACUUGGGUUCAUCUAAAGAUGUAUUUUGCCAGAGAGAGGUACAAGAGAGUUGAGGGUGUUGGCAAAAUGGGAUCGGGAGGGAAGUGAAGACAGUGAUCUAAUGGAUAGAAAGGUGAGAAAAGGAUCAAAGAUCCCAAAAUAGUCAGAAUAGUGCUCGUGGGAGUCACUGAGCAAGUAAGAUGGAAGGAAAGGAGGGUGUCUCCACCAGCCGUUUUGGAAAUGGAGCAGAUGCCAGUGAUAGAGGAGUCCCAGAUGGGACUAUGGGAGUGGAUCCCAAAGAGAGCUCAAGGAGACCUCUGCAGAGAGGACUCAGACCUACAUUGGGUCAUCUGUGUCCCCGUGGGAGUCACCUAGGAUAGUGUCAUGGCAGAGGCAGGAGAAAGGCUAGGAUCUAGGAGCUGGGGCCUGCUCUUGAUGAACAGGAGAGACCAAGAGGUCAGAGAUGGCAGAGAAUGAGAAAGGUGAUUUCAGUGGGAAGAGUCCCCAAAAAGUAGAACUUCUUUUUUCUUGUUAAUUUUAGACUAUUACCUUUUUUUUUUUUUUUAAGAAGAUGUUGGGGGUAGGAGUUUAUUUAUUUAUUUUUGCUGUGUUGGGUCUUCGUUUCUGUGCGAGGGCUUUCUCUAGUUGUGGCAAGCGGGGGCCGCUCUUCAUCGCGGUGCGCAGGCCUCUCACUAUCGCGGCCUCUCUUGUUGCAGAGCACAGGCUCCAGAUGCACAGGCUCAGUAGUUGUGGCUCACGGGCCUAGUUGCUCCGUGGCAUGUGGGAUCCUCCCAGACCAAGGCUCGAACCCGUGUCCCCUGCAUUAGCAGGCAGAUUCUCAACCACUGAGCCACCAGGGAAGCCCCUCUUGUUAAUUUUAAUAUAAAAUUUUGCUUGCGUAUUUUUAAUUGGACAGUAGGUAAAUGAUUACAUUCCUUUUUAAAAAAUUUAUAAAUUAUAAAUAAGGCCAAAGUUUCUUACCACCCCAGCCACAGCCCCAAUCCUUUUGCCCUGUCCCUAUAGGCAGCUAGCUGUCUCCCCCGAAACGUUUUCCAUAUGCAAGCACACCCCCUUACACGCACGGAAUAGUAUAUAGUAUUGUUUUUAGUGUAUGGGUGUGUGCUUCAGAAUAAAUGGUUUCAUACUCUAUAUACUUACUGUCUUAUAAUUUACGUUUUUCCCUCAGCACGAUGUCUUAGAGAUCUAAGAUACCAUGUUUUAGAAAAUGAGCAGACUUAUUGUUUUAUUUUGCUACAUAGUAUUAUAUAAUGUGAAUUUACUAAAUUUAUUGAGGUUUUCUCAUGUCAAUGGAUUCUUAGGUGAUUUCUAGUCUGGGCUAUUACCAGCGAUGUUGCUGUGUACAUUCGUGUACAGUUUUUUUUGUACACAUGAUAAAUGUUACAAAAGUGCAUCCAAAACACCUGUAUAUGUUUCUGUUAUGAAUGUGAUCUGCUGCAAUAAACAGAAAACUCAUUAAACAAAUAAGUGUUGUUGGGUUUUUUCACUUCUUUUCUGAAGGUAAGGAGUUACUGGGAUUGGUUUAGUUGUGUGGUGAUGCACCCCGAGAUCCAGGCUCUCGAAAUUUUCACUCUGCCAGCCUUAGUGUAUUGUCCAGUAUCCUCAUCCUUGGUGCCUCAUACUCACCAUAUGUGGUUGCUGUGGCUCUGGACAACACUUCUGGAU